AACCAUAGAAACCUGCGGAGUACCUGCGGAAGGAUCAUUACCGAGUUUACAACUCCCAAACCCCUGUGAACAUACCUAUACGUUGCCUCGGCGGAUCAGCCCGCGCCCUGUAAAAAGGGACGGCCCGCCCGAGGACCCCUAAACUCUGUUUUUAGUGGAACUUCUGAGUAAAACAAACAAAUAAAUCAAAACUUUUAACAAUGGAUCU
rnacentral:misc_RNA from 1 species